AUCAUUGACUAAGUCACUAAGUCACUGGUCUCCGGCGCCCCAUUGGGGAUCUACGAUAUUAAACAGAUUUUUUGAACUUGUGGCAGAUGCCGGAGCUUGCUCCGAUUUCCCCGCGGGUUGGCUCGGUAUUGCAGUACCUCCGAGAUCGGCCCACUCCCC
rnacentral:snRNA from 1 species